GGGUUCAAGCGACUCUCCUGCCUCAGUCUCCCGAGUAGCUGGGAUUACAGAUCUUCGGAAAAAACAACAAACAAAAAACAACUGCUAUUCACUCUAAAAUGAUGAAGGCAAGCUAACUGGAAUGGAAAAAAAAGACGCUGUGAAUGUCACGUAUGCUUCCUGGCUACACUCAAGGUCUCAAGGAAUAGAUGUGCCUGAUCCCCCAUCUUACCAGAUAAGGGCCCUCACUGAGGAUGCUCUAGGAACCCACAAGGUGGCAAAGAGGUGCCCCUUCCUUGAAGAGAGCCGGUCAAAGUCUUGGAGGUGGAAACGAACUGCCAACUGAUUAACCAUUUUCCUUAAGGAGCAAUGAUGGGCCUUGCGUGGCACAGAGGUCGGCCCCAUCUCAGCUGCCGGGCUUGCACGGAGCAGGCCAGACGCUAGCGCGCCCAGACCAGGCCCAGCCCGGGGCCGGAGGCCGCCAGCGCCUCAGCUCCCCGCCCCGGCCGGCCCCUCCUCCAAGGCUCUGGCCCGUUCUGCGGAGAACUGACUGAAGGCGACAUCGCCAUUUUAGGUACGGGCAAAUUCUGGACGCUCCAAAACCCACGCCAAGCCCUCAGCAGGCCACACCCCCUGCGCCGGCCUCGGUCACUCACCGGGACCCUCACUGUACUCCGGACCGGUCCGAUUGGAAUCAGUGAACACAGCCCGGCUGAAGUUUCCCAGCCGCUGGCGCACCGGAUCUGGCAGCUCCAUGCCUGGCCCUCGGUAUCCCUCGCCCCCUCAGAUACAGGCUAGUCUGCGGGCGUUCCGAGGCUCCGUGGUUCUCAUGGCAACCGGCCGGCGCGAGGCCGGCGAGAUCCGGGAGCGCGCGGGGGUGCCCGGCUGGGCCGGGUCUCGUCGGGAGCCCGCGCAACCUUGAAGGGACCGGCGUACUCAGAGCGCGUUCCAGGCCCCGGGAGCCGCGCGCCUCGGCCAAAACGUGUCCAAAACGGCAGGUUUCUUAGUUCUGCUUUGAGCCCGACUAUCCUAAAAACAAACCUAUACUAAGAAAUGAGCUGGGGUUGGACUGCGAUACAAGGAGCCCUCAUAUCUUGCCAGUGAAACUGUAAAUCGGUACAACCUUUCUGGAGGGAAAUAGAGAAUGAAUGCAGAGCUUAAAGAAUGUCUAGAGGUGUAGGGGUGUGUGUGAGAGAGAGAUACUAUGACUGAUUAUUUUUUAAUAAGAAAAUAGAGCAAUGGGCAACUGAUUAAAUGUACUGGAGCAUAUGCAUUCAAUGGAGUAUGUUUCAGCUGCCUAUAAAAUGCUUGCAAAGAAUAUUGAAUGAUAUAGGUUAUGUAAAAAUAAAGCAGAAAUAAAACUAAAUGAGAAUGAA